rnacentral:rRNA from 1 species
CCUGGCGGCCUUAGCGCGGUGGUCCCACCUGACCCCAUGCCGAACUCAGAAGUGAAACGCCGUAGCGCCGAUGGUAGUGUGGGGUCUCG